CCUACGGGGGGCUGCAGUAGGGAAUAUUGGACAAUGGGCGAAAGCCUGAUCCAGCCAUGCCGCGUGUGUGAAGAAGGCCUUCGGGUUGUAAAGCACUUUCAGUGGGGAAGAAAGCCUUGGGGCUAAUACCCUCGAGGAAGGACAUCACCCACAGAAGAAGCACCGGCUAACUCCGUGCCAGCAGCCGCGGUAAUACGGAGGGUGCGAGCGUUAAUCGGAAUUACUGGGCGUAAAGCGCGCGUAGGCGGUCUGAUAAGCCGGUUGUGAAAGCCCCGGGCUCAACCUGGGAACGGCAUCCGGAACUGUCAGGCUAGAGUGCAGGAGAGGAAGGUAGAAUUCCCGGUGUAGCGGUGAAAUGCGUAGAGAUCGGGAGGAAUACCAGUGGCGAAGGCGGCCUUCUGGACUGACACUGACGCUGAGGUGCGAAAGCGUGGGUAGCAAACAGGAUUAGAUACCCGAGUAGUC
rnacentral:rRNA from 1 species